rnacentral:rRNA from 1 species
AACGAACGCUGGCGGCAGGCCUAACACAUGCAAGUCGAACGCGCGUAGCAAUACGCGAGUGGCGCACGGGUGAGUAACACGUGGGAACCAACCCAGAGGUUCGGAAUAACCGCGGGAAACUGCGGCUAAUACCGGAUGUCCCCCAUGGGGGAAAGAUUUAUCGCCUCUGGACGGGCCCGCGUCCGAUUAGCUAGUUGGUGAGGUAACGGCUCACCAAGGCUACGAUCGGUAGCUGGUCUGAGAGGAUGACCAGCCACACUGGAACUGAGAUACGGUCCAGACUCCUACGGGAGGCAGCAGUGGGGAAUAUUGGGCAAUGGAGGCAACUCUGACCCAGCCAUGCCGCGUGGGUGACGAAGGUCUUCGGAUUGUAAAGCCCUUUCGGCGGGACGAUGAUGACGGUACCGCAGAAGAAGCCCCGGCUAACUUCGUGCCAGCCGCCGC